rnacentral:rRNA from 1 species
GAUGAACGCUGGCGGUGUGCCUAAUACAUGCAAGUCGAACGCAUUCUGGUUUUAGAUUGACGGUGCUUGCACUAGAUUGAAAACAUUGGAAUGAGUGGCGGACGGGUGAGUAACACGUGGGUAACCUGCCCAAAAGUGGGGGAUAACAUUUGGAAACAAAUGCUAAUACCGCAUAAUAGUCAGAAUCGCAUGAUUCUGAUUUGAAAGAUGGUUUCGGCUAUCACUUUUGGAUGGACCCGCGGCGUAUUAGUUAGUUGGUGAGGUAAAGGCUCACCAAGACGAUGAUACGUAGCCGGCCUGAGAGGGUGGACGGCCACAAGGGGACUGAGAUACGGCCCUUACUCCUACGGGAGGCAGCAGUGGGGAAUAUUGGACAAUGGAGGGAACUCCGAUCCAGCAAUUCUGUGUGUGUGAAGAAGGUUUUAGGACUG